AGAGUUUGAUCCUGGCUCAGGACGAACGCUGGCGGCGUGCUUAACACAUGCAAGUCGAACGAACUCGACCUUCGGGUCAUAUGAGUGAGUGGCGAACGGGUGAGUAACACGUGAGAAACCUGCCCCGAAGUUUGGGAUAACCCAGGGAAACUUGGGCUAAUACCAAAUACCCUCUUCGGAUCGCAUGAUCCGAUGAGGAAAGAUUUAUCGCUUUGGGAGGGUCUCGCGGCCUAUCAGCUAGUUGGUGAGGUAACGGCUCACCAAGGCAUCGACGGGUAGCUAGUCUGAGAGGACGAAUAGCCACACUGGGACUGAGACACGGCCCAGACUCCUACGGGAGGCAGCAGUGGGGAAUCUUGCACAAUGGGCGAAAGCCUGGUGCAGCGACGCCGCGUGGGGGAUGAAGGCCCUAGGGUCGUAAACCCCUUUCAGCAGGGACGAAAAUGACGGUACCUGCAGAAGAAGCCCCGGCCAACUACGUGCCAGCAGCCGCGGUAAGACGUAGGGGGCGAGCGUUGUCCGGAUUUAUUGGGCGUAAAGGGCUCGUAGGUGGUUGCGUAAGUCGGAUGUGAAAACUCAGGGCUCAACUCUGAGACGCCAUCCGAUACUGCGCUGACUUGAGUCCGGUAGAGGAGUGUGGAAUUCCUAGUGUAGCGGUGAAAUGCGCAGAUAUUAGGAGGAACACCAAUUGCGAAGGCAGCACUCUGGGCCGGUACUGACACUGAGGAGCGAAAGCGUGGGUAGCAAACAGGAUUAGAUACCCUGGUAGUCCACGCCGUAAACGGUGGGCACUAGGUGUGGGAUCUUUCAACGGAUUCCGUGCCGUAGCUAACGCAUUAAGUGCCCCGCCUGGGGAGUACGGCCGCAAGGCUAAAACUUAAAGGAAUUGAUGG
rnacentral:rRNA from 1 species